GGCCUCCCAAUUAUUACCACAGGCUGUGUUCUUUACACCUACUGUAUAGAAAUAAGAGGUACUGUAAAUAUACCCCAUAUACACCUCAACCCAGACCCUUUGCCUGGUCUGUAUUGUGAAUUGGGGAACCAGA